AGUGAGCUGUUCACUCUUCUCUGACACCUGCUCAUUGCCAAAUGUAUCGCUUUCUUUGACAAUAUAGUGGUACCUCAGUUCUCGAACUCAUUAGAACUCGAAUUUCUUAAAAGUCGAACCAACCAGUUCAAAAUAAAAAUUACCUAGAGCUCGAUCUGAAUCUCAGAAGUCAAACCGUGAACGCCGACCUAAGAUAACUUGUACGCGCGGGAAAAUGAGUCACGCCGUCUCUCAGAGGAAACAAAGGGUAAAGCUUCAGUCUCAGCCUCGCAUUCGCUGUGGUAGCAUCCUGCAUCCUGUACGCCGAUUUACAGACAGGCACGUCUGCGGGCAGCCCAGUGAUAUUGUUGCUGUGGAACACGUGACCCAUGCUGCCUUGUACAGGACCUCAGCCAGAAGUUUUGGACGAGUUCUGAGAGAAAACGUAAUUGCUGUCUCAAGGCUGAACAAAAAUCUAAUCCUGUAUGGCAGCAUUUCACCAAGCCAACACUAUAUUGUGCACUGAAAGAGAUUCUGAUGCUAUUUUUAUUGUUUAUAAGUUUGUUUACAAGUUGUAUUGUGUUUACGUUUAUUUUUAAAUUUACAAGUCAGUAUUCAAUAAAUGCAAAGUUGAGAA